rnacentral:lncRNA from 1 species
UAACCUCUGAUAUGGACUGCAGAUUGCCCAGAAGCUGGCAGCAAGGUAUUCGGGGCUGAAGGACUCAAAGGUGCUGUCCCUAACCACCAGUGACUCCCGGAAGGUGAGUCACUUCCACAAGAACCUAAAGCAGUCCCCUGGCAAGAAGCUGCUGGAGCUGCAGACAAUUUCACUGAGCUCUCUGUCACUCAACUUUGUCCAAAUGCUUCAAGAUAUUGGCCAGGAAGCAAACUUUGUCGUCACUUUUGUUGAUAUUGAAGAAUUAUCAGUUACCGGUCAGCACCAGUGUCUAGUUCAGUUAUCAACACUGCCAGUGGCAGUUUGUUAUGGUACUGGUACAACUGUUAAGGAAGCCCAAUCUGCUGCUGCUCACAAUGCCCUGGAGUACCUGAAGAUCAUGACCAAUAAAUAGUAUGUUUGAAAUAUGGACUGUGGAGAAAGGAACUGAGGAAGAGUGAGGAAGGAUUUUUUUUAUUUAUUUAUUUAUUUUUUUUAUAAAUCAAGAUAGACACACCUAGUGUUGGGUGUACCCUCACUGUUACAUUUAUAUGCUUGUAAAAGCAAAAAAAAAAAAAAAUGCAACAGUUGUGUUGCAUACCAAAAAAAUGAAAAAAUCAUUCUCUAAGAAUGAUAAAAAGUUACUCUUCUCAUGAGUUGUAACAAAAAAAAUUAGGAACUUGGACCAGAAUCGAGCAAGAUUUCUGUGGUACCUGUGGUCAACAUGCAGGAAUGGAGUAGUGGCAGAGGAUUUUUUAUUCACCCAGACAGAGCACUAGAUGCUUUGUCAUGACUGAUAACUAUGAAAGCAGUAGAAGGAUGAAAUACAGAUAUUUUGUCUGAAGCUUUCAGGUAGUCCAGUUCUAUGUUUAAAGUUAAAAACUAUAGACUGUAAAGAAAAUAUAUGAAGAAAUGCUGGCUAUUAUGAGCUAUGCUUUAAAGCAGCACUUUAAAGAUAGCUUUUAUGCAUUCUAUUUACUGUAAUCCAUUUUUACUGUACCUCUGCCUAAGAUUACAAAUACCAUUUUGACCCCACAGUUAUCCUGGUCUGAGUUUGCUCUCGUUGUGUGCAUCUGCUAUACUUUGCAUAGAACUAGUGAAGUGUUAUGGUAGAGCACACGCUGGCUGACUUGGCCUCCAUUUUGCAGAACAAAUGAAUGGUGUAAAGGUAGUCAAAAUAGUACCUGACAUUCUUACUUCUAGUACAAUUAUUGUAGGCUGUUUGUCGUUUCUAAAAAUUAGGUUUGAGUAUCGACUGACACCGCACCAUCAAUGCAAAAAUGGAGUAAAAGUGAACCAGUGCGUGGCCUCCUUACCUUGAAUGUACCGUAGUCUUGGCCAGGUGUAGGUGUCAGUACUGGAGUACGUUGCCAGGGUGGAUAGAAGUGGCAACAUUAUGUACCACCUGUUCACAACUUGGUAACCCAUCAUUACAUUAAGGUGUACAAUAUUCGUAGUUGGAUAGAAAUUUACUCUUUUUAAUUCCUGGAACACACAAGUAUGCUUUCAGUUUCAGCUUAGUUGUGCAGUUCCAUAAUUUUGUGCAUUGUAAAAAUCCCUCCAACCCUUGCAAAUUACUCCAUGCUGCAACUUAAUAAUGCUUUAUCCAAUAAGCUGUUACGUACAUUAAUUCUCUUAUCUAAUGGGCAUUCAUUAAUUAAAUGCAAAGUAUAGAUAUUGGAUGAUAGAUGGUUGUUAGAGACGGGCCACUCUGGGCAUUUGAAUUUAAUCAGCUGAAUAGUUUGUGUGUUUCCUGAAUCAGUUUUUGUAUGACUGGAAAUUCAAGUGACCAAAUUGAAACACACUGAAGCUCAAAUUCACUGAAGCUUGUCACAUGUUAUUACUGAUUUUACAGACGACUUGAAAGAACUAUUGUAAGUUUCCUCUUUGUGUUAGGAAGAAUGGUCUAUCACACUUACUGUUAGAAUUAGUUGAUGGAUUCUGUUCAUCUUCACAGUAAUUGAGGGCAAGUGUCGUCUUCCGGUGACAAGCAAAGAAAUGCCCAAAGGGUGGCUGAGGCCCACACAGUAGAUGGUGUCAUUCAGUUUGGUGGCACUUUUAUGUUCCACUUGCUGUCAUUGACAAAGGUGUGGUCCUAGGAGUGAAGCCCAUCAUUUGUAUUAAACAGCACAACUAGAGAUGAACUAAAGCACUCUUACUUCAUGCAAAGUUACCCAACAAGACAGACCUUAAAUUAAAUGCACUUUAAACUUUACAAUGUCUUGUUGCUGUAGGUAUCUGUACAUGGUGAGGUAGUGUUUGGUGUCAUCAGAAUGUGCUCUUUUUAUUAUUUUUUUUAUUUAUUUUUUAUUUAUUUAUUUAUUUUUUUGUUUAACUACUACACUUCAGCCCAUGUGAUCUCCACCAGAGGGAAAACCUAAAACCUCAGCAGAAUAGUUUAAACUAAGGUACUUGUAGCAUUAGUACUCAAACAUUUUUUUAAACCAAGAUUCAUUUUGGAAUUUUAUAAACAAUUGAAUCAGUUGCCCAAAUUAUGCUCCAAGAAGUCUAAUUCACUAACUAGUGGUAUAUACAUAAACAUACUUUGCACAUUGAAGCUGUAAAUGUCAAAAUAAAAUUGUUGUUUAGGGAGAGGAACCCAUCUCUUAUUCCAAGAAGCUGUAAUAUUUGGUUGAAAUUUAUCUCCCUAAAACCUCUCAUGAGUGUAUUGCCUGUGAGAUCUGUUUCAUGUUCACCCCCUCUUAUCAUGAAAAAAAAAAAAUUAAAUUAGUUAUAUACUAUAUAUAUAUAUAUAUAUAUAUAUAUAUAUAUAUAUAUAUAUAUAUAUAUAUAUAUAUAUAUAUAUAUAUAUAUAUAUAUAUAUAUAUAUAUAUAUAUAUAUAUAUAUAUAUAUACAUAUAUAUAUAUAUAUAUCACUUAGGACCUUUGUUGUUAUGUGGGUGUUGCUUCAAAGUAGAUCUGUUUAUUUGAGAUAUUAUGUUGUAUAAUAUAUUAGUCUUACCAGUUAGUGAGGGAGCUAAUACAGUGCAGCUAAUACAGUGCAGCCAUAAGUCUUUCUUGAUGCAGGAAAGUGUGACACUCUUAUGCUUGAUUUAGCAUCGGAUAUACAUUCACACUGAUUUUUCUGAAAUCAGUUGACCUGAAACAAAUUAAUUUAUCUCAGAAGUGGAAAUUUUUAAGUGGUCCUGUGCAUUCUUACCAGUUUUAUUGUUUAACCUUUUGUCGAGGUGCAUUUUAGUGCCAGUAGACAUGGGUUGACUAAUUUAGCAAGUGAAAGCAUUGACAAAUACUGAUAUAAAGACUUUUGUGAAAAUAUGAAUAAUGUUUUGGUCAGGUUAUAGACAUUUAUCAAUUGAUACUGAUUGUAUUUGGACUGAAACAUUUUUGGAUUUUCUGAACAUGUUUCUAGGCAUUUAGUGUAAGUUUAACUAUCAAGCAUCUACCCGGUACAUGUUAUUGUGGUUGUUUCUUACCUUGCAAAACAUAGCUCCUUUGUGUAUAAGUCAUUUGUGUAUUACUGAAAAUUAUUGAUAGAAACCUACAUUUAAGGCCACUAAGAUAUAAUUUUAUUUGUUGUUUUCUUUUUAAGUCAGUAUAUGUUAUUAGAGGAUAAUGUGAUGUGGAACAGGCUUGUUGUAGCUAAACUGAUGGAGAACACAUGAGGCUAUUAAUUUUUGUCUUGUGUGUGUAUCACUCCAAACAGGUGGUGAAUUAUCACAGUUUUGCUGAUAGUAACAUGCGUUUGGGUGUUACAUGUGGACAACGGAUUAACUGGCACUUUUAUUCCAGUUUGAGCAGAUUGUCCAACUCAAAUAAUUUUUGUUCAUAAUGAUCAUGGAAUUUGAUAAUUCUCCAGUGUUGGGGUGUACAUGUUUCAUUUCAGUAUGUUGCCAUUUGUGAUACAACAGUCUAUGUGCAUCCUUCACACAGGUGAAUUCUCUUAUAUUAAAGUCCUUUUAUCAUUUGUGCAAGUACAAUUUGAGGAAUGAUGAAUAUCUCAGUAGGUUACCAACUAAAUUUGAAAGUGUAAAAAGAGGGCUUCUACGCUUUCUUAGAGUUGUCUUGUAAUUUUUGAGGGAAAAAAAUCAUGGGCAUACCUAAGGUAGAAGAUGGAGGGAACAUAGAUGCAGGAACUGAAAAAGAUGGAGAAUUUAUUAAGCAAAAUAAUUGAAUUGUGUUUAAAAGUUAGAUAGGCUUAAAUUUGAAUAAAAAAUUAGUGAACCCACCACCCUUGGGUAUGUCUGUGGUUUAUACAAUGUAUAAAAAAUACAAUAAUUAGUCCAAAUAAUUGGUUGGGCACAUAGAAAAGUGUAACAUAAUACUUUCAAUCAAUUUUCCCUCUAGUUCUUAAGUUGGACUGUAUCUCUGUGUCCAUCCAAUAACCUCUAUUUAUGUUCAAAGUAAAAAUUUAAAAUUG